CGGGGUGUGGCCUAGUUGGUUAAGGCACAGCACUGGGGGUGCUGAGAUCGACAGUUCGAGUCUGUCCACCCCGA
rnacentral:tRNA from 1 species